CUUCCUACUGUUAUUCUACCAUUCCAUUUUAGUAGAAGUCCUACACGUAUAUUAUGGGAUCCAACACGACCAAGGCAAAAGGACCACAGCACAUCCAUCUGAGGCUCCGUUAUAGCCUCCUGCAGGACAUCCCACAGAUCCUCAGCAUCACCGAAUUGCAGAAGACAGAGAUGAG